AGAUAAAAUUUAUGUAUUAAAAAAGUCUGUCUUGUUCCAUUCACUCAUAUUUAAAUUAAAUUGAUUUGCUGUUGAUUGAAACCAACAUGAAGCUUAUUAUUUCAGCGCUGUGUUUUCUAUUUUUCACAUUGUACAGAGCAGAGGCGGGUGCAGAGACAAGAGGACUAUGUCAGGGGUGUGGCGUUUUUGACAUCAAUUGUUGGUCGACCUGCUCCAACCCAGGGGAGGUAAUUGGUAAAAGGAUUGUGAACAGCAAACGACAGCUCUGCCAAUUUUGUGGAACAUUCGACAUCGGCUGUUGGUCAACUUGCCCCAACCCUGGGGAGGUCAUUGGUAAAAGGAUUGCGAACAGGAAAAGGGGGCUAUGUCAGGGGUGUGGCGUUUUCGACAUCAAUUGCUGGUCGACCUGCUCCAACCCAGGGGAAGUGAUUGGUAAGAGGGUUGCCAACAGCAAAAGAGGGUUGUGUCAGUUUUGUGGAACAUUCGACAUCAACUGCUGGUCCACUUGCUCCAACCCUGGGGAAGUGAUCGGCAAGUGAAGGUCGCCCGGCCUUGAAGAUUCAGACCACUCCAGAUAUCUCCAAAUUAUGGAAACGCGUACAAAAUAAUUAGAAAAUAAAUAUCUGCCUGA